AUGUGGCACAAUGAGUCAGUGUGUCUGGCUGUUAACCAGUAGGUUGGUGGUUCAAACCUGCCCAGGGAUA